CCUACGGGAGGCAGCAGUGGGGAAUCUUAGACAAUGGGGGCAACCCUGAUCUAGCCAUGCCGCGUGAGUGAUGAAGGCCUUAGGGUCGUAAAGCUCUUUCGCCUGUGAUGAUAAUGACAGUAGCAGGUAAAGAAACCCCGGCUAACUCCGUGCCAGCAGCCGCGGUAAUACGGAGGGGGUUAGCGUUGUUCGGAAUUACUGGGCGUAAAGCGCGCGUAGGCGGAUUAGAAAGUUGGGGGUGAAAUCCCGGGGCUCAACCCCGGAACUGCCUCCAAAACUGCUAGUCUAGAGUUCGAGAGAGGUGAGUGGAAUUCCGAGUGUAGAGGUGAAAUUCGUAGAUAUUCGGAGGAACACCAGUGGCGAAGGCGGCUCACUGGCUCGAUACUGACGCUGAGGUGCGAAAGUGUGGGGAGCAAACAGGAUUAGAUACCCUGGUAGUCCACACCGUAAACGAUGAAUGCCAGUCGUCGGAUAGUAUACUAUUCGGUGACACACCGAACGGAUUAAGCAUUCCGCCUGGGGAGUACGGUCGCAAG
rnacentral:rRNA from 1 species